GGUUAUUGGGACCUAAUUCACAUAAAGCAGUCCAGUUCUCUAGCCACCACCUGUAAUGGGUGUGUCAUCCAGAGACUGUGUCCCCACAAUGACAUCCACAGGAAGUAACAGAGGGCUCAACCUAGGACUUCUUUUGGUACAAAGCCCCAAAUCAAUUUUUUUUUUAAAAUAGACAAUUUUUAUAAGUAGACAUACUUCCUAGUACUCCAUGAUUUGAUCCUCCAAGCAAGAUUUCCACUAAAAAAUACUAAUCUUUUGUUGGAAUGUGGAAAGAUUACCUAGUCACCAGUAAAGGCCCAGGAAAAGGCUCUUCUUGUCAGCACAUGGUGAAAACAUUCCACCCCCACUGUAGAAGGAAAAAAUGAUUUUGGCAAAUUCUUCGCUUUUGUGCAGAACCUUGAGUUAUUAGCUUCAUUGUUUCCAAGACAACUUUUAACUGAUGAUCUUUGGAAAUUGAGUUUCUCAGUUGAACUGUACCUUUGAUUCUAUGAGUAAAUCACAGAUUACAAUCUAAUAGAGUCAAUCAAUCAACACAAACCCAACAGGCCCCAUCAUGCUUCAAUCAUAAACAUCUUGGAGCUUGUCAAGCUUUACUGGAGGUGAUUUGCAGUUAAUUAAUUCAACAGACACUUUAAUCUUGCAAAUUCUUUACUUGUAAUAUUGUAACCAAGCUCCUGCAAGGGAACAUUAAUCAGUUAGUGGAAAAGGAGCACUUCCAUUCAGCCAUAGUACCAUGACGUGCACAGGCCUGAAGAGAAAGACCUCUGUGAAGUGGAGCGCUAGUGAAUUCCUGCUACCUGCUUCUUAUUGCUCACGCUAUGAAUAUUCAUCUGCUUCAUUUGUUUUUUCCAGUAAACGCUGUUUUG
rnacentral:sRNA from 1 species